CCUACGGGAGGCAGCAGUGGGGAAUAUUGGACAAUGGGCGCAAGCCUGAUCCAGCCAUGCCGCGUGUGUGAAGAAGGCCUUUUGGUUGUAAAGCACUUUAAGCGAGGAGGAGGCUACUUAGAUUAAUACUCUAGGAUAGUGGACGUUACUCGCAGAAUAAGCACCGGCUAACUCUGUGCCAGCAGCCGCGGUAAUACAGAGGGUGCGAGCGUUAAUCGGAUUUACUGGGCGUAAAGCGUGUGUAGGCGGCUUUUUAAGUCGGAUGUGAAAUCCCUGAGCUUAACUUAGGGAUUGCAUUCGAUACUGGGAAGCUAGAGUAUGGGAGAGGAUGGUAGAAUUCCAGGUGUAGCGGUGAAAUGCGUAGAGAUCUGGAGGAAUACCGAUGGCGAAGGCAGCCAUCUGGCCUAAUACUGACGCUGAGGUACGAAAGCAUGGGGAGCAAACAGGAUUAGAUACCCUGGUAG
rnacentral:rRNA from 1 species